UCUCAAGUGUCACAGGACCUCCUUUGUCCA
rnacentral:piRNA from 1 species